rnacentral:SRP_RNA from 1 species
ACCAGGCAUGGUGGCACAUGCCUGUAGUCCCAGCUACUCGGGAGGUUGAUGGUAGAGAAUCCCUUGAGUUCUGGAGAUCUGCGCUGUAGUGUGCUAUUCCAAUAAGGUGUCCACACUUAGUUCAUCAUCAAUAUGGUAACCUCCUUGGAGCCGGGACCUCCAUGUUGCCUAAGGAGGGGUGAACUGGCUCGGGUGGGAAAUGGAGCAGGUCAAAACUGUCAUGCUGAUCAGUAGUGGGAUCAUGCCUGUGAACAGCCACUGCACUCCAGCCUGGGCAAUAUAGUGAGACUUUGCUUCUC